rnacentral:rRNA from 1 species
GAAGGCGGCUGUCUGGACUGAACUGACGCUGAGGGGGGAGCGUGGGUAGUAAACAGGAUUAGAUACCAGGGGACCGCCCUAAACGAUGAAUGCUAAGUGUUGGAGGGUUUCCGCCCUUCAGUGCUGCAGCUAACGCAAAGAGAACGCCAGCUGGGGAGUAUGACCGCAAGGUUGAAACUCAAAGGAAUUGACGGGGGCCCGCACAAGCGGUGGAGCAUGUGGUUUAAUUCGAAGCUACGCGAAGAACCUUACCAGGUCUUGACAUCUUUUGCCCACCUAGGAGAUUGGCGUUUUCCCCUCGGGAACAGAAUGACAGGUGGUGCAUGGUUGUCGUCAGCUCGUGUCGGGAGAUGUUGGGUUAAUUUCCGUUAUUAGCGCAACCCUUAUUAUUAGUUUGCAGGAUUCAGUUGGGCACCCCUAGUAAAACUGCCCGUGAAAAACCGGAAAAAAGGGGGGAUAACGUCAAAUCAUCAUGCCCCUUAUGACCUGGGCUUAAAAA